GAUGAAGAACGUAGCGAAAUGCGAUAAGUAAUGUGAAUUGCAGAAUUCAGUGAAUCAUCGAAUCUUUGAACGCACAUUGCGCCCCUUGGUAUUCCGAGGGGCAUGCCUGUUCGAGCGUCAUUAUAACCCCUCAAGCUCAGCUUGGUGUUGGGGCCUGCUGCACUGGCAGCCCUUAAAAUCAGUGGCGGCGCCGUCUGGCUCUAAGCGUAGUAAUUCUUCUCGCUAUGGAGUCCUGGUGGAUGCUUGCCAUCAACCCCCAAUUUUUCUAUGGUUGACCUCGGAUCAGGUAGGGAUACCCGCUGAACUUAAGCAUAUCAUAAGCGGAGGA
rnacentral:misc_RNA from 1 species